GCCCGAUACCCGCUCGUUCUUCCUUCCCCCUUUUCUUUUCCCCCCGCUUGAUACUCCCUCUCUGUUCUCUUUGAGUUUGCUGCCGCCCUUCCUAAGCCGUGCUUGCUGGUGUGCUAUCGCCACCUCGCCGAGGAGAGCGUGGACGACGGGCUGCUGCUCACCAGAAUGGGUCUGUGUUUUUCAAAUUUUCCCCCUCCCGAUUUAGGUCUAUGGAUUGGAAGCAUUUUAUCAGAGCAUAGUACUAUUUUUUGAAUUUUAAUGGAGUUCUUGCGUGUUUGGGAAAGUUCACUUAUUUUUUAUAUCCUCCAUUAUUGAUUGUGAAUCUGUUACGAAUUGCAGUGCUUUUUUUUUUUUUUUUUUUAUAUCUACAUUAGGGACUUUUUUUAUGUUGAAGGAUGGGUUUGGAUCAGUUUUUUAGAUAUUGAUUUAGAAUUGAUUUGGGGUUUUGGGAGCUUUGUCGAAUGUUCUUUUGGGUGAUAUACAUCCGAGAGUUCAUGAAAGUGAGUUUUAUCUGAUUUUUGUUAAUAUGGGGUUGCUCAACCUCCUCGGGAGGUAGUGAAAGUAUCAUCAUUUGUCAUAUUUGUGGUGCCCCAUGAUUUGGGUAGGAAAAGAGGGUGGGUAGUUUUGUUACAAACCUUUGUCUAAGCUAUAAAAAUUUUCUCAAAGGAAACCUUCUCUAAGUGCUGUGAUCUUGGGAUUUUGGUAGCUCUAGCUGCUGUGAAAUAUUUAAUUCACAUCUAAUCAAAUAAAUGCACACUGAGGAGGGCAGUAAUCUCUGCUAGUUUGGAGGAAGGGAAAAGAACUUAGAAAUUAACCUGGUAGCAUCAUUGAUGGUACUUAUAUUUUGCAAAAUGGAACCAAAUAUGUGCAUACCCAUGUGUGAAUAAUAUCUAUCAUAUACGUUGACAGUUUAGAUGGCCUUUAUAUGGGAUUUUUGGCUAUUCUGUUUUGCUUUGCAGCCUUAAGUUUUGGUAUAAUGGCUUUAAUUGGAACCUUAUUGUAGAUGGUUCUUAACUUUGUUAUCAUUUACUGUUGCUUUCAGUCGUAUAUGGAGGUUUGAUUUUGUUAUAGUAGUAUGUUCAUAUUUAUGUUGGGUAGCAGAUGUAGCUUUCUUUUUGUCAAUUUAAUAAGCAAUAGAAUAAUAUAUAUAUAUAUAUAUAAUUAAUUCGACGGAGAGAAAGGAGAAUAGGUAAAUGCCAUAUAAAAAGGCAAACCAUAAAACAAAUUAAGCAUGCAAGCAUAUUAGAUAUAGAUGGCAGAUACCAAGAGAACUCAUGAGCAAACCAAGCUCAAGAUGGAAGCAACUACCAUUCAUGUUUCUACCUCAAUCUCUAUGGAUUUGUACCCAAAGUUGCCAAAAGAAGAUGGAGUUCUUGUGGUCUGUAAUGGUGAAAAAUGGAGUCUCUGCUGCUCACCAGUUUUCUGAUCAUCAUCAUCAAGUGUUAUCGGACAGCAUAGAUUCUGGUGAUCAUGAUCAUGAUCUUAAACAACCACGGAUUCCUGGUUGAUUUGCAGAGCAUUGUCCAAUUUGGCCAGCACAUUUCUGACUUUGGACAUCUCAGGAAAAAGAAAUCAAUGGACAAACAAAUUUAAGAAAACAAAUUCAACGCAAAGGACAAGCACACUUUCUAAAAGUGGAGAAAAUUCUGUUUCAAGGAUCGUCCAAAUACCAAAGUAUGAUGGUUUUCCAGUCAUCGGCCUAUGGCAAGGUUUUUGUCCUCGAUGGAGCACUACAACUUACAGAGAAGGAUGAAUGUUCUUACCAAGAAAUGAUGACCCACCUCCCACUUUGCUCUAUUCCUAAUCCAAACAAGGUUUGGGCUAGUCUAUUGCUGCAGUGAUGGUCCUUAAUAAAUUCCAAGAAAGGAAAGUAGAAGACACACGUAUAACUUUUCAGCUAAUGAAAUUUUGUUGACCAAACACCAUUCAUUUUGCUUGUCAUAUUUGUGGUAGUUCAAUUGAUAUGGUGAUCCUCUAUGAUUUGGUUCUUGGUGAGCUAAAAGCUGACAAAGCUCAUUCAAGUAUUUGAAUUUCAGUUAAGGCCAAUGUCUUUAUGUUGUAUGUAAUGAACACAUUUCAAAAACUCAAGUGUUAUUUGAAUAAAAUAUCUACAUUUGUGUUGGAUUGGAUUACAUGGGCAGCAAGCAUGUUGAUAUGUCUUGCAAUACAAGAUUUUGAGUUAUAUAUAUGGAAGUGUGAAGUGGAAUGAUGUGAAUUGGUAGUAAAUAUUGAAGUGAUAUGUUGGUUGGGAUUA